rnacentral:rRNA from 1 species
GAUGAACGCUGGCGGCGUGCCUAAUACAUGCAAGUCGAGCGAACAGAUGAGGAGCUUGCUCCUCUGACGUUAGCGGCGGACGGGUGAGUAACACGUGGAUAACCUACCUAUAAGACUGGGAUAACUUCGGGAAACCGGAGCUAAUACCGGAUAAUAUAUUGAACCGCAUGGUUCAAUAGUGAAAGACGGUUUUGCUGUCACUUAUAGAUGGAUCCGCGCCGCAUUAGCUAGUUGGUAAGGUAACGGCUUACCAAGGCAACGAUGCGUAGCCGACCUGAGAGGGUGAUCGGCCACACUGGAACUGAGACACGGUCCAGACUCCUACGGGAGGCAGCAGUAGGGAAUCUUCUGCAAUGGGCGAAAGCCUGACGGAGCAACGCCGCGUGAGUGAUGAAGGUCUUCGGAUCGUAAAACUCCGUUAUUAGGGAAGAACAAAUGUGUAAGUAACUAUGCACGUCUUGACGGUACCUAAUCAGAAAGCCACGGCUAACUACGUG